UACAGAGGGUGCAAGCGUUGUUCGGAAUUAUUGGGCGUAAAGCGCGUGUAGGCGGCUUUGCAAGUCGGGUGUGAAAGCCCUCAGCUUAACUGAGGAAGUGCGCCCGAAACUGCAGAGCUCGAGUGCCGAAGAGGGUGGCGGAAUUCCCCAAGUAGAGGUGAAAUUCGUAGAUAUGGGGGAGGAACACCGGUGGCGAAGGCGGCCACCUGGUCGGUAACUGACGCUGAGACGCGAAAGCGUGGGGAGCAAACAGG
rnacentral:rRNA from 1 species